GUUUAGUUGAUUUUGUCAAAUGAUUGAUUUGAUUUAAAAUAGUCUAUAUUUAGUUGGAGUUCUAAAAUUCUGGUUGUAAGAGUUCUUAUUUUUCGAACCUCUUACUUUAUAUAAAGGGAAGGUUGAAGAAUAAAAUUUAGAGAUAGAUUGAUUUGAGUUUAAAAAAAAAAUUGAGAGUGAUUCUCUUUUUUCUUAGAGUGCGACGCUCCAUCCUCUUUCCUUGUUGAGAUGCCAAGCUUUCGAAGAAGUUGGUGAAGAUAAGACUCCUUCUCCUGUUUCACGCCAAGUCUUGAAGAGUUUAAGUAGAAAUGAGACUCUUCCACCCAUCCUCUUUAGUUAUCCCUUUUUUUUUAUGACGCCAACCUUUCAUUCUCACGUUACCUUAAUUAAGAGUCCUAGUAAAAGAAGGAUUCUUUCCUUUUCUCAUGCCAUCUUAGUAUUUUUUUCUCAUGCCAUAUUGCUUUCUCAUGCCAACCCUAGAGUCCUAAUUCCAUUAGGACUCCUAAUCACUAGCCAACCACAAGUCCUUCACGUCCUAACCUAAUCCCACAACGAGUCCAAGCUAACUUUCUAUUGUCUCCAUAAUCCAUCAGUAAUUUCUGCACAAGGCUGAGUCAAUCCACACCAAUUGAACCCAUGUGAACCCCAAUUAGCCUUUAUCCCAUCAUCUUCUUUCUCCAUCCACAACGAAAACCCUAGCAUACCCUAGCCGCCAUUGAAAAAAAAGAGAGAAAGAAAAUCAGCCGCCAUCAUCUCCAAAUUUCAGCAACCUUUCCAUCCCCGUCUAUGUCACACGAGUUUCUUGUUCUGUUCUGAUCUUGGAUUAUCAUCAUUUGAUUGUGGUUGAACUAAUUUUACAUCUUAUUGCUUUCAUUUUCUUAAACAUAUAUUGGAAUUGCAUGGUGACAGGGUCUAGGACCUUACUCUACGAGCAUUAAGAAAGUGGAGAAAGAAAUCAAGGAGAUGGCCAAGAACGUCAAUGAUCUAUGUGGCAAAGUUUUCCGAUAUACAGAAAGAAUGUUUCCAGCUGAUCUUUCAAUUGCUUCUUUCCUGAUUGAUUUGGUUUGCUUCUGCAUCUUACGGGAUCACUUGCUGUUGUCAUGGAGAACUAAGUAUAUUGUUUUUUUUUGGUCGGGGGAGAAAUUCUCGAGUAUAUGGCAAGUAAUGAUCGCUAAUCGGUCGUUGGUAAAAUAACUUACAGGUAUGUUGGUGGCAUUGAAAGUAGUACCUCUGAUGCUGCAAAGAUUGAUCAGUGACUUGUGACUA